rnacentral:rRNA from 1 species
AGCGAACGCUGGCGGCAGGCCUAACACAUGCAAGUCGAACGAAGUCUUCGGACUUAGUGGCGGACGGGUGAGUAACACGUGGGAACGUGCCUUUAGGUUCGGAAUAACUCAGGGAAACUUGUGCUAAUACCGAAUGUGCCCUUCGGGGGAAAGAUUUAUCGCCUUUAGAGCGGCCCGCGUCUGCUUAGCUAGUUGGUGAGGUAAAGGCUCACAAAGGCGACGAUCAGUAGCUGGUCUGAGAGGAUGAUCAGCCACAUUGGGACUGAGACACGGCCCAAACUCCUACGGGAGGCAGCAGUGGGGAAUCUUGCGCAAGGGGCGAAAGCCUGACGCAGCCAUGCCGCGUGAAUGAUGAAGGUCUUAGGAUUGUAAAAUUCUUUCACCGGGGACGAUAAUGACGGUACCCGGAGAAGAAGCCCCGGCUAACUUCGUGCCAGCCGCCGCCGUAACAC